rnacentral:rRNA from 1 species
UACGGGGGGGGCAAGCGUUGUUCGGAAUUACUGGGCGUAAAGCGCGCGUAGGCGGCUUUUCAAGUCAGACGUGAAAUCCUUAGGCUUAACCUGAGAACUGCGUUUGAUACUGUUGGGCUAGAGUGUGGAAGGGGCUACUAGAAUUCCGUGUGUAGCGGUGAAAUGCGUAGAUAUACGGAGGAACACCAGCGGCGAAGGCGGGUAGCUGGGCCAACACUGAUGCUGAGGCGCGAAAGCCAGGGGAGCGAACGGG